rnacentral:tRNA from 2 species
UCCAGCGUAGCUCAGGAGGUAGAGCAGGUGCCUGUUAAGCACCGGGUCGCAGGUUCGAGUCCUGCCGCUGGAG